ACUCCUACGGGAGGCAGCAGUGGGGAAUAUUGGACAAUGGGCGCAAGCCUGAUCCAGCCAUACCGCGUGGGUGAAGAAGGCCUUCGGGUUGUAAAGCCCUUUUGUUGGGAAAGAAAUCCAGCUGGUUAAUACCCGGUUGGGAUGACGGUACCCAAAGAAUAAGCACCGGCUAACUUCGUGCCAGCAGCCGCGGUAAUACGAAGGGUGCAAGCGUUACUCGGAAUUACUGGGCGUAAAGCGUGCGUAGGUGGUCGUUUAAGUCUGUUGUGAAAGCCCUGGGCUCAACCUGGGAACUGCAGUGGAAACUGGACGACUAGAGUGUGGUAGAGGGUAGCGGAAUUCCUGGUGUARCAGUGAAAUGCGUAGAGAUCAGGAGGAACAUCCAUGGCGAAGGCAGCUACCUGGACCAACACUGACACUGAGGCACGAAAGCGUGGGGAGCAAACAGGAUUAGAUACCCUGGUAGUCCACGCCCUAAACGAUGCGAACUGGAUGUUGGGUGCAAUUUGGCACGCAGUAUCGAAGCUAACGCGUUAAGUUCGCCGCCUGGGGAGUACGGUCGCAAGACUGAAACUCAAAGGAAUUGACGG
rnacentral:rRNA from 1 species